rnacentral:rRNA from 1 species
ACUGGUUGAUCCUGCCAGUAAUCAUAUGCUUGUCUUAAAGAUUAAGCCAUGCAUGUAUAAGUUCAGACCCAAGAAUGGUGAAACCGCGAAUGGCUCAUUAAAUCAGUUAUAAUUUCAUGGGAUGUGUUUUGUUAAUUGGAUAACUGUGGUAAUUCUAGAGCUAAUACAUGCAAAUACGUUCAACUUCGGUUGGAUGUGCUUUUAUUAGUGCAAACCAUGCCCUCUCGGGGGCUGCAGGUGGCGACUCUGAAUAACUUUGCCGAGCAUUGCGGCCUCGGGCCGGUGCUAUUCCUUCAAAGUAUCUGCUCUAUCAACUGUCGAUGGUAUAUUAUAUGUUUACCAUGGUUGUAACGGGUAACGGGGAAUUAGGGUUCGAUUCCGGAGAGGGAGCCUGAGAAACGGCUACCACAUCUAAGGAAGGCAGCAGGCGCGCAAAUUACCCAAUCCCGGCACGGGGAGGUAGUGACAAAAAAUACAAUGCGGGACUCAAAUGAGGCUUCGUAAUUGGAAUGAGUACAUUCUAAAUCCUUUAACGAGGAACUAUUGGAGGGCAAGUCUGGUGCCAGCAGCCGCGGUAAUUCCAGCUCCAAUAGCGUAUAUUAAAAUUGUUGCGUCUAAAAAGCUCGUAGUUUGAAAAGUUCCCCUGGCUUACAACUAGCAUCCAAUGGGUGCUUCCGUAUGACUGGGAGGAAAUAUGGAUGACUGUUUUCGCCGACUUCACUGUCCGGCUUACAAGAGUCAUCAAAAAUCACUUUGAUUAAAUUAGAGUGCUUAAAGCAAGUGUGUUACUUGGAUAUAAAUGCAUGGAAUGAUGGAAUAUGUUGUUGUUCUAUUUGUUGGUUUUUGAACGAUAAAAUGAUUGAAAGGAACUGUUGGGGGCAUUCGUAUUGUUGUGAGAGAGGUGAAAUUCUUAGACCACAGCAAGACGAACUACUGUGAAAGCAUUUGCCAAGAAUGUUUUCAUUGAUCAAGAACGAAAGUUAGAGGUUCGAAGGCGAUCAGAUACCGCCCUAGUUCUAACCAUAAACUAUGCCAACUAGCAAUUUGCUCAUGUUCUUUAUAUGACUGAGUGAGAGGCCACGGGAAACCAAAGUAGGGUUAUGGGGGAAGUAUGGUUGCAAAGCUGAAACUUAAAGGAAUUGACGGAAGGGCACCACCAGGAGUGGAGCCUGCGGCUUAAUUUGACUCAACACGGGAAAACUUACCUGGUCCUGACACUAGAAGGAUUGACAGAUUGAUAGCUCUUUCUUGAUUUGGUGGAUGGUGGUGCAUGGCCGUUCUUAGUUGGUGGAGUGAUUUGUCUGGUUAAUUCCGAUAACGAACGAGACUCUAGCCUAUUAAAUAACACACAGAAUCUCGUCUUCUGUGGUGUUUCUUAAUGGGAUCAAGCGUGUUUAACGCUUUGAAACAGAGCAAUAACAGGUCUGUGAUGCCCUUAGAUGUUCGGGGCCGCACGCGCGCUACAUUGAGAGACAAAAUGAGUUCUCUAGCCUUUAAUAAGGUUAGUAAUCUUUGAAUGUUUUUCUUAAUGGGGAUAGGGGAUUGCAAUUGUGCCCCUUGAACGAGGAAUUCCCAGUAAGUGCUAGUCAUCAGCUAGUACUGAUUACGUCCCUGCCCUUUGUACACACCGCCCGUCGCUACUACCGAUUGAAUGGUUUAGUGAGAUCAUCUGAGUAGAUGUGCACGUACUUUGUAUGUGUAAUGUUUGCAAUGAAGAUCAAACUUGAUCAUUUAGAGGAAGUAAAAGUCGUAACAAGGUUUCCGUAGGUGAACCUGCGGAAG